rnacentral:misc_RNA from 1 species
GACAAAUCACAGGGAAUGACUUGAUCUUCAACCCACCACAUGUUUCCAAAUGAUUUAUGUAUUUUUCUACUUUCUGAGAUCAGCAGCGGCAAUAGAUUUAAACCUCUGAGAACCGAACUUGUCCAAUCUCUGGUCCCAUCAACACUAAGCCCUUUGAUGAUUUACUAUUACAAUCCAGUUUGGUUGAUAGUACUCACUCUAGACAGGUUUGAGAUGAUCAAUGGGUACCUUUGUGGAGGUCUUUGUCUGUUUUUGCCUACUGUCAGCCAUAAGAACCUCCACUGCUGUAGAUACCAUUAGUCCAGGUCAGUCUAUCACAGAUGGGGAUACCAUUGUUUCAAGUGGGCAAACCUAUGAACUUGGGUUCUUCAGCCCUGGUAGUUCAUCGGGACGAUACGUGGGAAUUUGGUUCAAGAAGAUUUCUACGGGAACUGUUGUUUGGGUAGCCAACAGAGAAACUCCAAUUCGUGAUCGCUCAGGAGUUCUAAAUUUCACAGACCAAGGGAUUCUUCUUCUUCUGAAUCGGACAAAUGGCGUCAUCUGGUCAUCUAAUAAAACAAGAACUGCAAGGAAUCCGAUUGCUCAGCUCUUAGACUCUGGAAAUUUUGUUGUGAAGGAUGAAAAUGAUGCUAACCCGGAAAAUUAUCUAUGGCACAGCUUUGAUUAUCCAGGUGACACCAACCUACCAGGCAUGAAACUUGGAAGAAAUUUGGUUACUGGUCUGGACUGGACUUUAUCAUCUUGGAAGAGCUUAGAUGACCCUGCUAGAGGUGAUUAUACUGCCGGUAUUGAUCCUCAUGGGUAUCCGCAGCUGCUUUAUAAGAAGGGGAAUAAAAUAACAUUCAGAGCUGGUUCUUGGAACGGUAUUCGCUUUACAGGGGCUGCUAGACUCAGACCAAAUCCCGUGUACACAUACGAAUUUGUGUUGAAUGAAAAAGAGGUCUACUACAAUAUUCACCUUCGAAACCGUUCAGUGAUGUCAAGGUUGGUGGUGAAUUCCACGGGGGUUACAGAGCGCUUGACAUGGAUAGAUCAAACACAUAGUUGGGCUCGUUAUUUUGCAGUUGGUGAAGAUCAGUGUGACACUUAUAAUCUCUGUGGUGCAAAUGCUAAAUGCAAUAUCAAUAACUCACCCCUGUGUGAUUGCUUGGAAGGGUUUGAACCCAAAUCUGAGAGAGACUGGAGUUUCCAAGAUUGGACUAGUGGGUGUGCUCGAAAGACUGCCUUGGCUUGCAAGAGAGGAGAAGGCUUCGUAAAGCAUCCAGGAAUGAAGAUGCCAGACACGUCUGGGUCGUGGUUCAAUAGGAAUAUGUGCCUCAAGGAAUGCGAGGAUUUGUGCUUGAAGAAUUGCUCUUGCGUUGCAUAUGCGAAUACGGAUAUUACUGCAGGAAGUGGAUGCUUGCUUUGGUUUGAGGAACUCAUUGAUAUCAGACAGUACACUGAAAAUGGGCAAGAUUUUUACAUUAGACUGUCUGCCUCUGAUUUGGAGUCCAGUCACAGCUCUGGGAAGCAAACACGAAUCUCGAUCAUAGCUGUCUGUAUAUUGGUUGUCGUAGCUUGUUUCCUUGGUCUAUUCCUGCUGUUGCAUAUCAGAAGGAAGAGGUUUCAGAGAAGAGGUAAAACGUAACAAGAAAAGAAAGUGAAUUGAUUUCUUUUUAGGCCAAAUAGGCAAAUAAAUGAACUUGCAGGAAUAUGUAAUGCAUAUUCCAAGGCAAAUUUCCUACGUGUUUGAUCUACGAAGUGCCUUUCCUAACUUGCAGAAAGCAUAGGAAGGAUGCAAGACAGAGACUAUACUGAUGAAAGCAGGGAAAAAGAUUUAGAGCUGCCACUGUUUGACUUCUCCACUGUAGCAAAUGCCACGGACAACUUUUCAGAAUUCAAUAAGCUUGGAGAAGGUGGUUUUGGACCUGUUUACA